rnacentral:rRNA from 1 species
AAACAAUACUGAACAAUUCUAUAUUAUUAUAGAAGAUUUUAUGUUAAAACUAGUAACAAGAAGAAGAACUUCUCCUACAAUGCAAGUAUUAAUCAGAUAGGACACACCACUGAUAAUUAACGUCUAUGAGCAAAAAUAGCAACCAAACAAGAAAACCCUACUAAACCAUACGUUAACCUUACACUAGAGCAUUUCAAGAAAGAUUAAAAGAAAAAGAAGGAACUCGGCAAACAUUAACCUCGCCUGUUUACCAAAAACAUCGCCUCUUGAAUAAAUAUAAGAGGUCCAGCCUGCCCAGUGACCAUGUUCAACGGCCGCGGUAUCCUAACCGUGCGAAGGUAGCGUAAUCACUUGUUCUUUAAAUAAGGACUAGUAUGAACGGCACCACGAGGGUUAUACUGUCUCCUCUUUCUAAUCAGUGAAACUAAUCUCCCCGUGAAGAAGCGAGGAUGAUAAUAUAAGACGAGAAGACCCUAUGGAGCUUUAAACUACAAGGCACUUGCUUGAACAUUAUUAAAUUUCAGAAUACCACUACUACCUUAGCAAGAUGACCCUUAGUUUUAGGUUGGGGUGACCGCGGAGAAAAAAACAACCUCCACAUUGAAAGGAGCCCACUCCUUAGCCAAGAGCCACACCUCUACGCACCAACAAAAAGACAUCAAUUGACCCAAUAUUUUGAUCAACGAACCAAGUUACCCUAGGGAUAACAGCGCAAUCCACUUCAAGAGCUCCUAUCGACAAGUGGGUUUACGACCUCGAUGUUGGAUCAGGGUACCCCGGUGGUGCAGCCGCUACCAAAGGUUCGUUUGUUCAACGAU